rnacentral:rRNA from 1 species
UAGGGAAUCUUCGGCAAUGGACGAAAGUCUGACCGAGCAACGCCGCGUGAGUGAAGAAGGUUUUCGGAUCGUAAAACUCUGUUGUUAGAGAAGAACAAGGACGUUAGUAACUGAACGUCCCCUGACGGUAUCUAACCAGAAAGCCACGGCUAACUACGUGCCAGCAGCCGCGGUAAUACGUAGGUGGCAAGCGUUGUCCGGAUUUAUUGGGCGUAAAGCGAGCGCAGGCGGUUUCUUAAGUCUGAUGUGAAAGCCCCCGGCUCAACCGGGGAGGGUCAUUGGAGACUGGGAGGCUUGAGUGCAGAAGAGGAGAGUGGAAUUCCAUGUGUAGGGGUGAAAUGCGUAGAUGUAUGGAGGAACACCGGUGGCGAGAGCGGCUCUCUGGUCUGUAACUGACGCUGAGGCUCGAAAGCGUGGGGAGCAAACAGG